rnacentral:tRNA from 1 species
AGUCCUAUAGCUCAGUGGUAGAGCAAUGUACUUAUGGGAAACCUUUAAACGUGAUUGGCUCAUUCAUGUGAGAUGCAUGGGUCGCGAGUUCAACCCUCGCUAGGACUA